rnacentral:misc_RNA from 3 species
UUGGUUUGUUACUGGUGGUCGGCUCUUUGCUAGUGCAACAACUUCCACCUGACAUCAUUUCAUUUGUCUGUUAAGGUUUCAAUUGCCUAAACAAAACUGUGGGUUUCCUGUGCCGCAUACCGAACAUAUGGAAUUGAUUUGGCUCAUCUUGGUUCUGUUUGUCUUGCGUCAUACUUAUGACAUUAGAUGAACCUUAAAGCUGUCUCUUUGAACCACAUCGUUAAUGCUUGUUUUGAUGUAGUGGUGCAUUGUGCCUUGCUUGGUCUCUUCGAUGUGGAACCUGAUGUGGGCAUGGGUCUCAUGGGAUCCUUGUAUUGUGCCCGUUUUGUGUUUACGCUCUGUAAAAUGACUGCCUGACUCGCAUUGGCCCGUACCAGCGUGUUGGGCUUUGUCUAAGAGGAAAGUUACCUGGU